rnacentral:rRNA from 1 species
CCCUUAGAUGUUCUGGGCCGCACGCGCGCUACACUGAAGGGAUCAGCGUGUUUUCCCUUCCCGAGAGGGACGGGUAACCCGCUGAACCCCCUUCGUGGUAGAGAUCGGAGCUUGCAAUUGUUCUCCGUGAACCAGGAAUUCCCAGUAAGCGCAAGUCAUAAGCUUGCGUUGAUUACGUCCCUGCCCUUUGUACACACCGCCCGUCGCUACUACCGAUUGAACGUUUUAGUGAGGUAUUUGGACUGGGCCUUGGGAGGUUUCGGCCUCCCUUGUUGCUCGGAAAGACUCCCAAACUUGAGCGUUUAGAGGAAGUAAAAGUCGUAACA